GGCCGCAGUAUUUUGACUGUGCAAAGGUAGCAUAAUCAUUAGUCUUUUAAUUGAAGGCUGGAAUGAAUGGUUGGACGAGAUAUUAACUGUUUCAUAAAAAUUUUUAUUAGAAUUUUAUUUUUUAGUUAAAAAGCUAAAAUUUAUUUAAAAGACGAGAAGACCCUAUAAAUCUUUAUAUUUAGAUUAUUAUAAUUUUUUAGAAAAAUUUUAUUAUUAUAAUUUAUAAUAUUUUAUUGGGGUGAUAUUAAAAUUUAAUAAACUUUUAAUUAUUUUUAUCAUUAAUUUAUGAAUAAAUGAUCCGUUAUUAACGAUUAAAAGAAUAAGUUACUUUAGGGAUAACAGCGUAAUUUUUUUGGAGAGUUCUUAUCGAUAAAAAAGAUUGCGACCUCGAUGUUGGAUU
rnacentral:rRNA from 1 species